rfam:Chaetomium globosum CBS 148.51 scaffold_4 genomic scaffold, whole genome shotgun sequence.
GGCAAGGUGGCCGAGCGGUCUAAGGCGCCAGGUUCAGGAACACCUGAAUUAGCGAAUCUCAUAGAUUUCCUGGUCUCAGUAAUGGGGCGUGAGUUCGAAUCUCACCCUUGUCA